CAGCGCGCAAGAGGAGCGACGGACCCGCCCUAGUCUUCCACAGCCUGAAGCGGGCUUCCCUGGUGGCACAGUGGUUGAGAGUCCGCUUGCCGAUGCAGGGGACACGGGUUCGUGCCCCGGUCCGGGAAGAUCCCACGUGCCGCGGAGUGGCUGGGCCCGUGAGCCAUGGCCGCUGAGCCUGCGCGUCCGGAGCCUAUGCUCCGCAACGGGAGAGGCCACAACAGUGAGAGGCCCGCAUACCGCAAAAAAAAAAAUUCCAGAUAUGUAGGAGACCAGAGGUUAGCAACUGGAAUUAUGCUACAGUAACUGAAUCAUCAGAGACUGAGACUUCUGAGACUCCAGAAGUCUCUUUGUUGCCUGGACAAUAAACUAGUUUGGGUCAGGAGCUACCUCCAAUCCCCAAAGAAGGUGCUGCAACUUCUUAUUGACCCCAAGACCUCCAAGGUGCUGGACAGCUGAGUUUCCCAGAAAACUCUCUCUAAAUAGCGGAUACCUGCAUCAUUACUUCCUGGAAACUAAGUCAUCUGUGUUUGCCCCACUGAGAUUAUUCUCAUGCUUGCUCAAUAAAAAAAGGAGAGGGGAUGAAGGGGGUGUCUCUUCACACCCACAGAGCCCACAGAGAUGUAGAUCUCUAUGCGGUGGAGGAAGAAUUGAGACGCUCAGGUUCUUGCUUGGUAUCCUUGGCUUGUGAGUGUCCCCCCAGUGAAAGCUGUUUCUUAUCACGUGAUACUGCAGAAUUCACCAUUAUCUACUUUACCACACUGUGGAAAAGCAAAAACAAACAAAAGAUCAUAAAAACAGCCGGAGAGAAGUCUAACAAGAAAUCACAAACAAACUGACAGCAGACUUCCUACUCAACAAUGAAUACCAGGAGAGGAAGAAUAUUUCCGAGAGCUUAGAGAAAAUAUCUAUCUCAAAUUGUGUGCCAAGAAAACCUUCUUUCACGAAUGAGAGAAAAAUAAAUUUCUCUUGAUAAGUAGACACUUAGAGAGUUUGUCACCAAUGGAUCUAUACUUAAAUUACACAUAAAAGCUGUACUUCAAAAAGAAGGAAAAUUAUAUCAGAAGGAAGGUCUGAAAAUGCAAGGAGCAAUGGUGAGGAAAGAAAGUGGUAAACAUAGCUGAAUCUAAAACACUGUCUGCAAAAAAAUAAUAAUAGUAAUAAUGUCUAAUUUAAGGGUAUUAGAAAAAGACAACUAAAACAUGGGACAAGAAUGACAUGCAAGGUGGCAGGGAGUUGACAGGAAUCUAAGUGUUCCAAAGACCUUUUUCAGAGGGGAGUAAAGUUAACAUAUUAACUUUAGACUUCAACAUAUGUUGUUCUUUAAAUAUAUUGCUUUCUAUAAAUCGCGUCUUAACUUCUUUCCAAAAGGAAAAAUAAAAUGUACAUCUGAAAACUUAGGAAGUGUAUAAAGUGAAAAUGUCUCCUUAAUUCUGUCAUUUAUGCUCUCCACAUGGAAUUUUUUGAUUACACAUGCACACACACAUGCACACACACAUGCACAC